GAUGAACGCUGGCGGCGUGCCUAAUACAUGCAAGUCGAGCGAACGGACGAGAAGCUUGCUUCUCUGAUGUUAGCGGCGGACGGGUGAGUAACACGUGGAUAACCUACCUAUAAGACUGGGAUAACUUCGGGAAACCGUAGCUAAUACCGGAUAAUAUUUUGAACCGCAUGGUUCAAAAGUGAAAGACGGUCUUGCUGUCACUUAUAGAUGGAUCCGCGCUGCAUUAGCUAGUUGGUAAGGUAACGGCUUACCAAGGCAACGAUGCAUAGCCGACCUGAGAGGGGGAUCGGGCACAGUGGAAGUAACACCCGGUCCAGACUCCAAAGGGGGGCAGCAGUAGGGAAGCUGGCGCAAUGGGGGAAAGCCUGACGGAGCAACGCCGCGGGAGUGAUGAAGGUCUUCGGAUCGUAAAACUCUGUUAUUAGGGAAGAACAUAUGUGUAAGUAACUGUGCACAUCUGGACGGUACCUAAACAGAAAACCACGGCGAACUACGU
rnacentral:rRNA from 1 species